rnacentral:rRNA from 1 species
UACAGAGGUCUCAAGCGUUGUUCGGAUUCAUUGGGCGUAAAGGGUGCGUAGGUGGCGUCGUAAGUCGGGUGUGAAAUUUCGGAGCUUAACUCCGAAACUGCAUUCGAUACUGCCGUGCUUGAGGACUGGAGAGGAGACUGGAAUUUACGGUGUAGCGGUGAAAUGCGUAGAUAUCGUAAGGAAGACCAGUGGCGAAGGCGGGUCUCUGGACAGUUCCUGACGCUGAGGCACGAAGGCCAGGGGAGCAAACGGG